rnacentral:rRNA from 1 species
CAGUCGCCACGGUAAUCCGGAGGGGGCUAGCGUUAUUCGGAAUUACUGGGCGUAAAGCGCACGUAGGCGGAUCAGAAAGUCAGAGGUGAAAUCCCAGGGCUCAACCUUGGAACUGCCUUUGAAACUCCUGAUCUUGAGGUCGAGAGAGGUGAGUGGAAUUCCGAGUGUAGAGGUGAAAUUCGUAGAUAUUCGGAGGAACACCAGUGGCGAAGGCGGCUCACUGGCUCGAUACUGACGCUGAGGUGCGAAAGCGUGGGGAGCAAACAGGAUUAGAGACCCCCGUAGUCCCUGUCUCUUAUAC